GAUAAGGGUAAGGAAAGGGAAAAUGAGGGGAUUGGAUGUUAUGAGUGCAAGAAGCCGGGGCACAUCAGAGCUGAGUGUCCCUUGCUGAAGAAGGGGAGCAAGUACAAGAAAAGAAAGCCCUUGUCUCCACCUUAUCGGACUCCGACUCAUCAUCAUCAUCAUCGGAUGAGGAACAAGAAGAAAAGGCCAAUUUCUGCUUCAUGGCAAAUGAAAAUGAGGUAUCAU
rnacentral:lncRNA from 1 species